rnacentral:misc_RNA from 1 species
UUAACUAUUAUAUAGUACUCAGACAGUAUAGACAAACAGAGUUUAGGUCCUCUGGCAAGCGCUCGCCGGCCGGAGCCAGCAGCCCGAGGGCAGGCCUGCCAAAGCAACUAAGGUAUAAAUAUUCAAGGGUGGGAGAUCUACCCGUGAGGGCAUGAACUCUGUAAUGAUCCUUCCGCAGGUUCACCUACGGAAA